GAGGCCCGGUGCUGAGCGCCUGGCCCCGCUGACCCGGCGUCUUUCCCGCCAGCUGGACAUCUUAUGCAACGAGGAGAUCCUGGGCAAGGACCACACGCUCAAGUUCGUGGUCGUCACGCGGUGGAGGUUCAAGAAGGCGCCCCUCCUGCUGCACUACAGACCCAAGAUGGACCUGCUGUGACGUGCAGACGGCCCGGGCACGGAGCACGGGCGCGGACCCGAGGCCCGGGACCAGACUUCUGCACAGAGAAUAUUUAUCACUUUUGUAUGAGAGUUCACACUCGACAAGACACUACCAGCAGCUCGGUGACAGGUGGCGACACACUUCACAGGCUCACGCGGCCGCCGGCCCUCACGACCCUCAGCUCUCAGCUUCACGGACCCGCGGCCUCCCAGGUCUCCAAAAUCUCGGUCGUUUCCAUUUAGUUUAUGAAUUAGGUUCAUGACAAAAACACGUGCUCAUUGGUCCUCACUAAGCUUUGAAAACACGUUUUCCUGGCGGAUGAUGACUUUCUGUUGCCUUUAGCUCCCGGGAGAUCGACAAGAAUUCACUUUAAGAGCAAAACAAAAGAGGCUGCCACUCGGUGCGGUUCCCGCGUGUGUGAUGUCCCUGUCGUGACCGGAGGGAGCCCCUGUGCGUGCACAGCCGUCUCGGUAAAGUCGCUUUGGUCACUAAACGCGACACCAUCGUCAGAGCACGCUCCCUCCUGCUGAGAGGGAGCUGGUGGCCGCAGGGAGUCCCAGGCCCUCGUCCCGCUGCAGGGGGCCCGCCCCCCUCUCUGCCGGUCCCGGUGGUUCUCACCGAGCACCCGGGCCGGGCGUGGGGACAGCAACCUAACCCCAGCCCCAGGGACACCCGCUUUCUCACCCAAACGUUCAUAUUUUCGUGGAAUUAGAGAAAAAACAUUCGCCAGCACACAAACGUGUUCCUUUAAGAUAGUCCCUUGGAAGGCGUGACGGCGAGCUCGGGGAGAAAGGCCCGUUCCUGUGGUCAGUGUGUCCUGGCGCUCUGGUCACUCCUACGUCCCCCGGCCCCUCCCACCGCCCCUGCCCGAGGCCUGUGGUCCCGCCCUACGCCCACCCUGCCUCUGUGCUGGGUUUUCCAUGAAGUUCUCACUUUAGGGACUAGAAUUUUCUCAAAUUGGCUCCAGACCUGUGGCCUCAGGGGCUGCUUCCUGUUGCACGUACACAGGGUCAGGCAGCUACUGAUGAGCCAUAAGCGUAGAGAAAAAUCUUCACAUUAAUUCAGUCCAAGCAAUUUUAAUGUAAGGCCUUUAAAACCACCAAACGCGUUAGGGAUUGGUCGAAUCGCUGUUUCCGCCGAGACCCCAUCCUGUUCAUCCCCGCGGUUCUCCGUUGCGCUCCGAGGCCUGGCGAGUGGAUGUGUGUGAGCAACUAUGACCUGUCUACCUCAAAACGCACAUUGCCGCUGGCGCAUCUGUCGGACCCAGGACCCCAGUGCGGUCUCCGGGCCUAGGGGGUGGGGUUCCCGUGGGGUGAAGAGGGGUGAACGGCGUGAGUGUCACCUUCAAACACCUGGUUCCCGCUCAGACCGGGCCGACUGUGUCUGCAGCCGCCCGACGCACAUCGUGACCUGUAGCUCUCUGUGCGACCACUUGAAUUUGCUAUGGUGCUAAGCUGAUACCUUGAGAGGUGCCGGGGCCGGCGGGUCCACGCCGCUGGCUCGGCCGCUCUUCUGGCCGCGGGACCUGGGGAGCCCCAGCAGCAGCAGAGCCUAUUUUUCUACGAUUUCCUCGUGAGACUGUUCACGCAGACGGCGGGACCUGCCUGGUCGGACCGCAGCCCGUGGACUCGGCUGGGGAGGCUGAUGCACUUUCUCCUGCGUGAGAGGCGGGUCGGAGGGGCAGGCCGCGGGUGUCCCGGGCGGAGUUCCCGGGCGUCUCCCUCCCGUGUGCGCGGCUGGCACGGCCGCUCAGCGCCUGCGCCCUCAGCAGCCGUGGGACUCACCGUGCGGUUUUCACGAAAACAAAAUUCAGAUAGAAUAUAUAAUAUGGAAUUUAAGAUUUGGGGGGUUGGAAAAGAAAACUUAACUUUAUAAAAUUAUUUAUUCUAUUUUAAGCGUUCUAUCCUGUUUUCCCAUCAGCCAUCUGGUUCGUGCCGCUUUGUUUACAGGCAUAUAAGGUGAAAGGGAUGUUCUGCAAGCUUCCUCCUUCCUUUCGGGCGUCGCCCUGUGUUUCCGUUUGUGCGGGUGAGGAGCGUCGUUAUGCGUUUAUGCUUUUGUGCAAUAGGCUCCACGCGUGCUGCCCGGCGGCGACUGGGCGGGAAUGUCCGUGGGUCCCAACCUGCACACGGAGCUACUUGGGUUUCCUUUUUCGUUGUUGUGAUGAGAAUGCUGUUCUCGGUGACGCACAGCCUGUCAGCAACGUUACCAACAGGUGCCCGGCAGGCAGGCAGCCGCGUGCGUGGGGCCUCGCACCCGGACCCCGCGUGCUCAGGCCCUGGCACACCACCCCCACCCCCCGGCGGCCCAGAUGUGGGGUGCAGUCCCAGGCCCCGAGCCCUCGGGCAUCCCUGUUAGGAGUCCUGACCACCGUCUGGCGCCUCAGCACACGGCUGUGCCGCUGAUUUGAAGUAUCAUCAGGUUGAACGUUCUAGGAGCAAGCCAGCGGGUUUCUGUGAUGUGUGUCACUAUUGGAUGUGCCCUCAAAACGGGAAAUCACGCCAGUGCAGACAGCAGUCCGUUUCUCUUUCCUCAGGAGCCCAUGUGCACCCCACACGUCACCUGUGCCCUCAGCCCAUAAAGUGUGUGUCUGCCUCGGUUCGCAGCGCACGGAGGGCACUGGGAUGCGCGGAUGAGAAAGGGUUCAGGCUGCACCUUCCCGCGAGGCGCCUGCCGGGCAGGGAGGGCCACGCCCCACAUCAGGGUGUCCCCACGGCUUGUUGGGUGUAAGAAAACCACGUUCUCCCAGUCGGUGCGGGUUCGGGCGGAGCCUGCCAUCUGCAGCGACACGGCUGCCAUGGGUUAUGGGAUGGCAAUGCGGAUGCAUAUUUUUGUUUAAUUUGAAAGUUUACAUUUUUAUGCUUUGUGUUGUUGUGUAACUUUUGUACUAUUGGUGGCUAGUUUUGUCUAAAAUCUUUUUUGGAAUAUUGCUUAAAUGUUUUGAUUUUAUGACAGUGAAGCUUGUAUUCAGUGUUUUGCCAAUUAAUAUUAUAUGCUUGUAAUAAAAGCAAAGGAAACAACGGUC